ACCUGAGGGAUAGCUCCAUCAGUAAAGCAUGAGACUCUUAAUCUCAGGGCCUUGCGUUCAAGUCCCAUGUUGGAUA